rnacentral:rRNA from 1 species
UACGGAGGGUGCGAGCGUUGUCCGGAAUCAUUGGGCGUAAAGGGCGCGUAGGUGGCGCGGUCAGUUCGUGGUGAAAGCGCGGGGCUCAACCCCCGCGUCGGCCAUGAAUACUGCUGGGCUGGAGCACUGUAGAGGCAGGCGGAAUUCCGGGUGUAGCGGUGGAAUGCGUAGAGAUCCGGAAGAACACCAGUGGCGAAGGCGGUCUGCUGGGCCGUGGGACAGCAAUGUCCUUAUAGCUGACACUGAGGCGCGACAGCGUGGGGAGCAAACAGG